GGAUGUGAGAGUGAUCUGGCUGUGACAUCUGUCACCUCAUUGAUUGUCAGGACUGAUCUCACUGAUCUAACUGACUACAUGGGUGUCCUUCCUCCCACUGAGUUCCCUAUGAAUCUCUCCCAAAGUGGAGGAAUUGUGCAUUGGAUGGAAAAGAAUGGAUUUUCUUGAAUAGCGAUGAACUGAUCUUAAGGUACGUAAGUGACAAUACUACCCUGAAAGAGCCAGAAAAAAAAAAAAAUCUUAAAGAGGGAGAAUAACUACUAUUAAAUUCCAAGAUGGGAUAUAAACAUAUUU
rnacentral:snRNA from 1 species